UACGUAGGGGGCUAGCGUUGUCCGGAAUCAUUGGGCGUAAAGCGCGUGUAGGCGGCUCGGCAAGUCGGAUGUGAAAGCCCUGGGCUCAACCCAGGAAGUGCGCCCGAAACUGCAGAGCUUGAGUGCCGGAGAGGGUGGCGGAAUUCCCCAAGUAGAGGUGAAAUUCGUAGAUAUGGGGAGGAACACCGGUGGCGAAGGCGGCCACCUGGACGGUAACUGACGCUGAGACGCGAAAGCGUGGGGAGCAAACAGG
rnacentral:rRNA from 1 species